rnacentral:rRNA from 1 species
UACGUAGGGUGCGAGCGUUAAUCGGAAUUACUGGGCGUAAAGCGUGCGUAGGCGGUUCGUUAUGUCUGCUGUGAAAGCCCCGGGCUUAACCUGGGAAUGGCAGUGGAAACUGGCGGGCUUGAGUGUGGCAGAGGGGGGUGGAAUUCCGCGUGUAGCAGUGAAAUGCGUAGAUAUCUGGAGGAAUACCGGUGGCGAAGGCGGCAUCCUGGACCGACAUUGACGCUGAACGGCGAAAGCUAGGGGAGCAAACGGG